rnacentral:rRNA from 1 species
AGACCUCUGAUCAGAAAAGACUACCCGCUGAAUUUAAGCAUAUCACUAAGCGGAGGAGAAGAAACUAACCAGGAUUUCCCUAGUAACGGCGAGCGAACCGGAAGAGCCCAGCUUGAAAAUCGCGG